UUAAUGGAAAGGCGCCAGGUCCAGACGGCUUUACUGCCUCUUUCUAUAAAACAUUUGAACCUACAAUAUCUCCUCUUCUAUAUAGAUGGUUUAGAGAACCCAAUCGUACAAAAAGUAUUUCUUCUGAGUUACUAAAUGCUACAAUAACACCUAUUCCCCAACCAAUGAAAGAUACAAAUUUCAUUACAAAUUAUCGCCCAAUAUCUCUUAUAGACAUAAAAAUAUUAUCUAAAAUCUUAGCUAAUAGAUUGAGUAAAAUCAUUCCUGAUUUACUAAAUAACAAUCAAUCAGGAUUUGUAAAAGGAAGAUCAGGGGGCGAUAAUCUCCGGAAUUUAAGUUUAAAGAUCAUCAAGGGAAACAUACCAGCUGUCUAUAUUGCGGUCGAUGCCGAAAAAGCUUUCGACAGAGUCAAUUGGCAAUUCCUAGAUGCAACAAUGACAGCAUUCGGCAUUGUAGGAACCUUUAAAGAUCCAG